AAAAACUUAAUUUUAAGUGCAUUAUGCCUGGGGUACGAGUACAAGUAGAAGCAUGCAUGCAUGAGAUAUUAUAAACCCAACUUUCAUCAAAAAAGUGAGAAAAUAUGUUACAUACUCUGAUUUCACAUCACCUCUACCUUGUGUUAUUUCCACAACUACCACUACUUGUGCUGAUGAUAAAUGAAAUCUAUGAACUAGCCAUGCGACUCAGGCCGAUGGUAUUCUCGCCAACAAUUCUUUGGAUCCUACCAAGUGUCCUGGAAUGCAUUGCUCUUGAUCUCUUCAAAAGCAGACAGUGUUUCUGAAUCAAGAUCUCCAGCAAACUGCACACACAGCAGGAGCUAUAUAAGGAAUGUUUUCAUAAGCACAAGCAGGAACUAGAAUAAUUAAUGAGUUCUCAUACCUUAAAAACCCUCUUAACACAUACUUAAAAAUCAUGACACGAAAACGAAAUACAGAAUCAUGUAUCCCAGAAACCAAUUUCACUUUCCAAAUUAGGUUUCUAUUGAUUGAACAUCCUUAACACAUUGAGGAGUAGGGAGGGAUUUGUGUUUAUAGGGAAGGGAACCAACUCAAGGAUUAUCUGGUGAGCCUUAUUUGCAAAAUGCAUGCCUUGAAGAAGCAGUGCCUCUCCACACCCCAAGGCCUUCCGAGUUCAUUUCUUGCAAGUUCUCUUCACCACCUGUAGUUUCUCUCUCCUUCCAAACCUCCAGCCUAGAUGUUUAAAUCCCUUCUCCUUGAGGAGUCCGUAAAGCAUGCUCCACUCACCUCUACUACACUUUCAAGGUCUGUCUCCCUCAAAUACAAUGGAAAUCAUCAAUCUUCCCACCAAGGAGUCAAAGGAGUUCAAAGAGCCUGAAGAUAUUGCGGACCCCCUCAAGGCCCUCUUUCAGCAACACUAGCGCUUAGACAUCACCUACACUAAUCUGUGUCGUUUUAUCUUCAAUUUACUUUAGAGUUUCUUCCCUUCAAUGAGUCAAAGGAGUUUGAAGAAUCCAGAAAGCUACCUCUAGGGCCUCCUCAUCAUCCUCUUUGAGUUCCUAGGUUGCGUCUCACACCUAGGUAACUCUGAUCCCUUUCCUUUCUUUGUUACUAACUCUAUUUGCCACCUUCCUUCCCCAUGAUUCAAGCAUUACCUCAUGUUGAGUACAAACGCUCGCCCUAUUGCAAUCCUUGAACUUUUCCAUUCGCAAAAUUUGGUUAUUUAAUUAAUAACCAAACUCAAGAUACCAUGCCUAAAAAAAGCAAUAAAGAGUGCCCCUUGAUGUGAUACUCUACCCCAAUGUGGGAGAAAGCUAAGCUCUAUUCAAGAAGGUUUGCACUAACAAAGGCCAAGUCUCCAAAACUCCUUAAAAAGAAGCGGCGAACCGUUAGACCACCAAUACUCCCUUUCCCGCCAAAUCUCCUCCAUCGUUCAAGCCGCCACCGACUGUGCUCGUGAGCUCGGCCGGGAAUUUUAUUUUACUCAUUUGGAAUCUAAUAUACUAACUUUUUGUUUGAGGAUUUUGUGGAUGUGGUUGCAGUGCAGGUAACAGAUGAAUGGUUUCGUAGGAACUCCACUGAAGAAAUUUUGCUGUAAGAUUAGGCCGAAU
rnacentral:lncRNA from 1 species